AGAAAUGAGAGGAAAUCAACCCAGUUUCAUAUAUGAAGAAAAGAGGAUGGUUGAUGCUUCUAUAUGUGCAAUGAAAAGCAGGGGGAACAUGUGAAUAAGGAUUGUAGACACCAGUGGACUUUAUUUAUUUAGCGUAUGGCACAUGUUAACCAGGGAUCACCAAGGUGACUGGCUGCCUCUGUGAAAGGGAUUUUUUGGGCGGUGUUAUCUUUGCCCACGGGACUCCUGAAUACCGGUUGGCAUUCAGGGGAGGCCUCUUUCUUGUUCCUGCGCAGUUUAUUCGCUCAUAGGAAUUGAGCCGCCGAGCUGCUGACCUCAACGGUGCACAGACCCAGUGUCUUACCAUGUGAGCUAUCGCAGCAGACUUAAAAUUGGUGUCUGCCUUCAUUCGUCUUGUCCUCCAGUUAUCUUGUCCUUGGAAUGCUCACUUUGAUUUUCCUCUCUUGGAGAAUCUCUGGCUAGCGUACCUUUUUUGCUUUGGAUAAGGGAAUAUAGUGUCUUCUUUCUCUUAAACGGGGAUAGGCAACCUUGUUUGCUAAAAUUAUUACGCUUCCAAGGGAAUUUACAAGGGGCGUCUAAUGACCUAUUUGCAGACUGGGUGGGAUUGGACUUAACAAUUCUUCCUUGUAUCUUUUCUUCUUAACUACUUGGUGCACUGACACAUCUGUCUUAAUGCCUGCUGUUUUUAAAAAAGAAAACUAAAUAUCCUCUAUUGCUGGACAUUAGUGAUUUGCAGAGUGAUUUUCAGGCAUUGUGGGUUGUGGCCACAAAUUGGCUAGGGUGUGGUGGCACAGAAUGCAGUAUUGCAGGCUAAUUCUGCCCACUGUCAGGAGUUUGAUCCUGACCAGCUGAAGGUUGACUCAGCCUUCUAUCCUUCUGAGGUCGGUAAAAUGAGGACCCAGAUUGUUGAGGGGAAUAAGUUGACUCUGUAAACCAUUUAGAGGGCUGUAAAGCACUGUGAAGCGGUAUAUAUGUCUAGUGCUAUUGCUGUGUGAUCUGUUGCCAAAGGCUGCUCACCGCAACUGUAAGCUAAAAAAUGGAUUUAUCGCUGCUUUUCUUGUCUUCAUGUUUCUUAAGAUGAUGCAUCUGUUGUUACAUUUAAAGAGUAGAAGAAAAAUGAUUGUGCCAAAAUAUUUCCACUUUCCAAUGUGUUUGUUGUGUGCUUUACAGUUUGGGUAAAUUCAAUUUUCAGUUGUUUUAAGAUCACGCAAGAGAAAAUUUAAAACAAUACCUUGGGAUCUUCUUUUCCUUUUCUUUUCAAAAGCUAGUUGUCAGCAUGAGAAGAAACAAAUGCAUUCCAGUUCUUUGGCUGAUUUUAUACAAAAUCUUAACUUUAGAUGCAUAGAAAAUGCAAAUUUAAGGUUGACAUGAUCUAUAUUUAAGCAAAUAUGUUGUAUUAGGACAAUGUGAUGUGUUGGUUCACAAAAAUGAUUGAGAUUGUUUUGGUUCGGGAUUUUCACAACACAAUCACAAUUUAGCUUUUCCUAAUUUUGCAUAGUCGGCAUCUUAGAUCAGUGUUUUUCCAACUUGGCAACUUUAAGAUGCAUGGACUUCAACUUCCUGAAUUCUCCCGGCUGAGGAAUUCUGGGAAGUCCACACUUCUUAAAAGUUGUCAAGUUUGAAAAAUGUUUUCAGUGACCAUCAACCAACGGAGAGGACUGAUACUAAAUCCCACCCUCUAGCUUUAUUGUUGUCAGCUUUUACUGUGUUAGAACUGUGAGGGCCUUAAAGAUUGGGUUAGGGAAUUGCGUGUUCUCUUAUUUCUUCUUUUUUAUGAGCUCAGUGAAAACUUGAUUUAUUCCCUUUUUUGCCUGACAAUUUCUAGCUUCUUUUUAAAACAAAGGAUUUUAUAUCUGUGGAUAGUAUUAAAAUGUGCCAUGUUAUAGGAAAAUGACAACUGGGGGGAAAAACCUGCCUUUUAAAGAGUGGCAGAAUGUUUUACUGAAUCAUACUUGGGGCUGUCCUUAAAUGUAGGUAUGAAUUUGUAUUCUUGAUAAAAAUGUUUAGAAGAAGAAAAAAGCAGAUAUUGAUUGAAUAAUGAAGUGGGACGCAUUCCCUUUGUCAUGUAAUGACUGUGAAAUCACUAAUACAGGUAGUCCUCGACUUACAACUGUAACUAAGCCCAGAAUUAUAGUCAUAAGUCAUUGCAGUCAUAAAUUGAGGCAUCAUGUGACCAGAUCCAAUUUUUUUUACAUUUUUUGUAGCAGUUGUUAAGCAAAUCCAUUUUCCCCAAUGGGUGAAAUCAGCAAAUCGUGGUCACAUGACUGCAAAUGGCUGUCAAGGUGAGAUGGCUGCAGAGUGCCAAAAAUGCAGUCAUGGGAUCAUGCACAAUAGGAUGGAUGUAGCCAUUGUAAGUUUAAAAACAGGUUGUAAGUAAGGGGAAGACUGUUGUAACUUUGAACGGUCAUUAAGUGACCAGUCAUAAGUCAAGGACUACCUGUAUAUCUCCUUUUUGAUUGUAAAUACACAAAUCAAGUAAACCUGAAGGAGUCUGUAAUCUACAUAGGCACAUAAGGACAUCAUCUAUAUCUUGAAACUUUUCAGUCUUUACAUAUUUUUUAUUGUAUAUUGCAAAUAGUUGGAUAUUCAAAGAACGAUAGUUAGGUAUGGAUUUUACAAAACUAGACAGAGAAAAAUUAAUACUUAUUUGGAGGGGCAGAAUUGAUCCCAUGCUCCACUUUGAGAACUGUUUGAGACUCAGUAGUGAACAGAGAAGUUCAUAGCUCAUAUUUUGCUGGAUAUUUUGUCCUACUCUAGAGAAGGAGCUGAAUUUUCCAUUGAUCCAUUUCUGGUGCUUCUUUUCCUAUACACAGGCAGCUAAUUAUGGUCACACUGUAUAUACAUGAGUUGAGCUAGAUCAGGAAAAUGAUGAUAUAAAGCAGUGUUUCUCAAGCUUGGCAACUUGAAGUCCACUCAAAUUGCCAAAGUUGAGAAACACUGAUAUAGAGAAAACUUCUAUAAGCAAUCUUUUCUCAAACAACUUUCUACCAUCCUAAGAGAUCUAAAAUCUGGUGCUGAUCAACAUGGUGAAAUAAUCUCACUGACUGUCGUAGAAUUUUGAAAUUGUUCAUGCUGAAAUUGCAAAGUAUAUAUAAUCACUGCCAAAUGUAAACUUGUCUCAUGCAGUUGGAUUUAAUGUAAAUGAAACUUCUCUUAUUUCUCACUCUGUCUUUCGAUUGUUCCACAAUUUGUUUUGGUUUGGGUUUCAUGAAUGUUUUUU